rnacentral:lncRNA from 12 species
UGAAAACAGCUUGAGAUUUAAAAUGCAACUGGAAAUCAGACCUGGAGGCAAAUUCACUCAAUGAUUGAUGAGUGAAUUCAGGAAUUAAAUAAACCUAGUUCCUUUUAAUAUGAUUUCCCCCAGAGAAUAAUCAACAAAACUCUAAAAAAGAUAGCUCCAAAGCUAUCUCAUAUUUAAUUAUCCCUAAUUCUGUGCCGUACACAGAGGAAGAGAAGGAAAACAGAGGUUUCGACUUCAUGGCUUCUAUUUAUCCAGUGAAGUGGCCAGAUUCAUGGCCUGGGACAAGGAGGGGAACCAUUGUCUUGUCUGAUACAGAGAUGAAUUUUGUGGCUGUUUUGAUUAUAAUUUUUGAUCUGGUUUCAAAAGUUCUUCCCUAUGGAACUUACUUGAAAGAACUUGGCCCAAGGCAUUUGGAGUGAUGAAAGUUUUUUAUAGGCGUGCUUCUUAAGCAAACAAAAGUUAGUGCUUUCCCUGGCAAAGCAUUGCCUGUGUGACAGUGGAUGAGAUCUUUCUCUCUCAAAGGCUGAAGUGGGAUAAAUGGGGCAUUGUGGAUUGGGCUAUCCCUCUCAGAUAUAUAGGAGUGGCUGGCUGAGUCCGUGGGUGUGCAGGAGUGGUGAGGACUCUUAGAGUAAGUCCUUUUCAUCGAACCCUUCCCAGAAGGGAUUGCCCUUCAGCAGAAUGUCCCAUGGAGUGGUUUCUCACCCUAGAUUUCAAUUUCCUCAUUCUUGAAGGUUUCUACAGAGGAAAUCCAUUUCCUGCUUUCACUUGCUCUCCACACCCCCUUAAAUGGGUGAUCCAGAAGAUGCAGAGGCCAGAGAGCCAAGGACACUUUGUUCUGAUGCCUCCUACAAACUGCACCUUCAUGUAAUACUCAUCAGUCACUCUGCCUUUGAACUCCUGUCUGGAGGCAAGCAUGAGCUCACUGAACCCAUCUCAUAUGCCUGAGGCGUCCCAGUGGACAGGACUCAAGAUGAGCCACAAGGGCCUCAUCGGAUCCCAGAGAGACACUCCUAGAUUCUUUGACUUGACCAGCAUGGAUUUCAAGCUCUUCUAUCGCAGCAGCCCCUCCAUAGUCGGUCGCUGGCGCAGUAGGCCA